rnacentral:tRNA from 2 species
NGGUCGUUAGCUCAGUUGGUAGAGCAGUUGACUUUUAAUCAAUUGGUCGCAGGUUCGAAUCCUGCACGACCCACCA